UUCAGUUCUCAAGAUCUACAAUUCCAAGCUGUAGCCAUAGAGAUAAAGGAAGGUCGCCACCCUCUUUAUUUGGGCCUGUGAGCUGAACUCGAGCCCCAGACGGUCACAGAUUACUGAGAGAGGCAAACAGGAUGCUGAGACACAGCUGAAAAGGCUUCUUUCUUAUCCUCACUCCCAGCCAGUCAAGGUCUUCACGAGAUGACUGCUGGAGGACUUUGAAGAUGACAGCGCACCGACAUCGCCAUGAGCUUGAUGAGAUCAGAGGUGUGGGGUCCAGAGGUCACAUAGAGGUCGCUGUGUGCACAGUCUCAGAUGAAACGGGUCGUGUGAAAGCUCACUGUGAUGAAGGUGACCUCUUCUCACAGGGUGAAAAGGCCAAAAUUUUGCAUUGACCUUCAGUCAACAUGAGGACAAGGUCUUGGAAAUGACAUUCUGCAGAAACUGCACGUUGUGAUGACACUAAGGCAUUAAAGAUACAGUCCUCUCUAAUUCUGAGUAAGAUUAUUGGU